GCAGAGCUAUCUUCAAGCACAUGUAGUAAGAAGCUGUGAAGUUUAGCUGAGAAGCACAUGGUGAAUUGUUAUUGAAGAUAAAGGGUGAAGUGGGGAAAUACUUUACUUGCUGGGCAUUUCCAGGGAUGCUACUGGUUUUCAACCUGACGCAAUCUGACAUAGCCUGAUGUAAACUGAUUUAAUCUGAGUUAAACUUCUGAUUAUUUG